AUCGAGUGUGUCCACCGAUGUGGCAGCUGCAGCGGGCUUGGCUUUGUGAAGAACCGAGUGUGUCCACCGAUGUGGCAGCUGCAGCGGGCUUGGCUUUGUGAGGAACCGAGUGUGUCCAGGGAUGUGGCAGCUGCAGUGGGCUUGGCUUUGUGAGGAACCGAGUGUGUCCAGGGAUGUGGCAGCUGCAGCGGGCUUGGCUUUGUGAGGAACCGAGUGUGUCCACCGAUGUGGCAGCUGCAGCGGGCUUGGCUUUGUGAGGAACCGAGUGUGUCCACAGAUGUGGCAGCUGCAGCGGGCUUGGCUUUGUGAGGAACCGAGUGUGUCCACGUUGGGGGGAACAUCAUACUUGAUACACACGUUUUUAUUUGCACAAAGAAAAUGCUAUUUUUGGAGCCAGAGUUUUCAUGUCUGAUUGAUGGCGAUUUUCUUAAGAACCAGAACUGCUGGCAGAAAGGGAGCACCCACAAGCUUAGAUAGCCGAUGUCUUAUCAGAGGGCAGUUUGUGGUUCCUGAUUUGGAAAUUAACAUUCUCCAAACAUUCCAGUCCAAUGAAAGUUUUAUCCGCUUUCCCAUAUAAAAACUCUUCCCACGAGAGUGACUUGAUUCUCACAAUCCCGUUGGAGUCGUGUGUGAGUCCUACAGUGUGAGGUUCAGCAUUGCCAUCUCCAAGUGCUCUUCGUAGGGAAACAGUUUCUGGUCAUGACGAGGUUCCACUUCCCAUCUGAUCCCGGCCCGGCCUGGAAACAGAGGACAUGUGUUUGAAGAUGGCAGUGUUUGGGGACAGGACAUGAGCGUAUUGUGUGGGGCUGCUAGGACAGGCCUGGCGGGGUGGGGGCGUGUACAAGUCAGUUUACUUGGUUCACAGGUUCUCAGGCCCACCCAGGUGCCUAGAAUUGGCCUCCAGGAUGGGACCAGAAAUCUGGUUUUGCAUAGAAAUGGCUAGCAGCAGGCACCGUGCCGCUGUCCAGUCUCUGCCCGCGUCUGCCCAGCACUUGGCACAGCGGGACAGACGCAGAGAUCUGAACCCACACUUACCUGGCUGCUCAGUCAACUCACUCUUCACAAAGCUUAGAAAGCGGCCAGGCACAGUGGUUCACGCCUGUAAUCCCAACACUUUGGGAGGCCGGCCAAGGCGGGUGGAUCACUUGAGAUCAGGAGUUCGAGACCAGCCUGGCCAACAUGGUGAAACCCCAUCUCUACAAAAAUACAAAAAUUAGGCAGGCACAAUGGCGGGUGCCUGUAAUCCCAGCUACUUGGGAGGCUGAGGCAGGAGAAUUGCUUGAACCCAGGAGGCAGAGGUUGCAGUGAGCAGAGAUUGCGCCACUGCACUCGAGCCUGAGUGACAGAGUGAGACUCCAUCUCAAAAAAAAAAAACAAAAUCACACACACACACACACACACACACACACACACACACACACAGCUUAGAAGGGGCUGGUGUUCUCAUAAGCACAGAUGUCUGAAGAGCCGUUAGCCAGAAUGAUUCUUUUCUUUUUUUUUUUUUUUUUGAGAUACGAUCUUGUUCUGUCACUCAGGCUGGAGUGCAGUGGCACAGUCAUUGCUCACUACAGCCUCGACUCCUGGGCUCUAGCAAUCCUCCCACUUCCUGAGUAGCUGGGAUGACAGGUGCAUGCCACCAUGCUAGUAAUUUUUUUAUUUUGUAGAGAUGGGGUCCUGAAUGCAUGGCCUCAAGUGAUGCUCCUGCCUCAGACUCUUUUAUUAUUUUUUUUUUAGACAGAGUUUUACUCUGUUCCCAAGGCUGGAGUGCAGUGGUGCAAUCUCAGCUCACUGCAAUGCAUCCCAGGUUCAAGUGAUUCUCCUGCCUCAGUCUCCCGAGUAGCUGGGAUUAUAGGCGUGCACCGCCACGCGUGGCUAAUUUUUGUGUUUUUAGUAGAGAUGGGGUUUCACCGUGUUGGCCAGGCUGGUCUUGAACUCUUGACCUCAAGUGAUCCGCUCACCUCAGCCUCCCAAAUCCUCUGCCUCUUACAGUGUUGGGAUUACAGGCGUGAGACACUGUGACACGGGAUGAUUUUCAAUCACAGUUUUUUGUUACGAGUGGAAAAUGUGUAUUUAUAAAAAUAAAGUAGUACAGACAUGAACGUGUAGAAGUCUCUAUAAUCCUGCCAUCCAAGGAUGGCACCUGUUAAUGUGUAUAUCAGGGAUGUCCAAUCUUUUGGCCUCCCUGCACCACAUUGGAAGAAGAAGAAUCGCCUUGGGCCACACAUAAAAUACACUAAUGCUCGCAAUAGCUGAUGAGCUAAAAGAAAAAAAAAUCACAAAAAAACCUCGUACUGUUUUAAGAAAGUUUACAGAUUUGUGUUGGGCCACAGAUUGGACGAGCCUGCUACAUAUAUAUUCUAGGUUUUCCCCAAUAGGUAUACUUAUGUGAAAAUGAUUAUUGUGAUACUUUUUUUUUGAGAUGAAGUCUUGCUAUGUUGCUCAAGGGGGCCACAAACUCCUGGGCUUAAGCCAUCCUCCUGCCUCAGCCUCCUGAGUAGUUGGGAAUAUAGGUACUCAUAAACAUGUGUGGGUGAUUAUUAUUAUUUUUUAAACAAAAAUGGGGCUGGGCGCAGUAGCUCACGCCUGUAAUCCUAACACUUUGGGAGGCUGAGGCAGCAGAUCGCUUGAGGUCAGGAGUUCAAGACCAGCCUGGCCAACAUGGCGACACCUCGACUCUACAAAAAAUACAAACAUUAGCCAGGUGUGGUAGCACGCACCUGUAGUCCCAGCUACUCAGGAGGCUGAGAUGGGAGGAUAGCUUGAACCUGGGAGGUGGGAGGUUGCAGUGGGCCGUGGCACCACUGCACUCCAGCCUGGGCAAUACAAAGCCAGACUGUCUCCAAAAAAAAAAAAAAAAAAAAAAAAAAAAAAGGUGGGUGGGGGCUUAUACUAUGUGUUCUGCUUGGCACUGUUUUUUUCACUUCAAAGAUAUUGCAGUUAUUUUUUCACAUAAGUAUCUGAAGAAAGACUUCCUUUUUUUUUUUUUUUUUUUGCCUUUUUGAGACAGGGUCUUGCUCUGUUGCCCAGGCUAGAGUGCAGUGGUGAGAUCAGGGCUCACUGCAGCCUCCACCUCCUGGGCUCAAGCUAUCCUCCCACCUCAGCCUCCCGAGUAGCUGGGACUACAGGUGUGCGCAACCAUGCCCGGCUAGUUUCUGAAUGUUUUGUGGAGAUGGGGUCCCACUAUGUUGCCCAGGUUGGUCUUGAAAUCGUGGUGUCAAGAAGUCCCCCUGCCUUAGCCUCCUAAAGUGCUGGGUUGACAGGCCUGAGCCCCGCGCCCGGCCAGCCUCCUGUGCGAGGUUGUGCAGGACUUUGUCGUGGAACCCAGUAUGCCUUCGUGUGCUGGCUUGUUUGUUGGCUCUGUAGUUAACGCGCUGCCCCACGUGGACAGGCAUUGGACCCACGUCUCUGUGUGCAGGCAGAGGCUGCUGCGCGUGCAUCUGUGCACAUGGCUGCCAGGAGGGGCUGUGCUCAGGGUGAUCUGGGGCAAAGGCUGGUGGCAAUGGGGGGCUUGGGUGUAGUGUGGAGGCACGAGAGCCAGGUGGCCGAGCUGCAGUCUGUGGGAGCUCAGGGGUUGCUUGGCCUCUGUGUGUCCUAGUGUCUUUGUCGGUGAGAUGGGACAAUGAUAGCACACUCUCACAGGUGCUGGGGGCUGACAAAUGUCAGGUCUGAGGACAGUGGCUGGCCCACUACGGGGACAAUUCCCCUUCUCUAUAGUCACCCUGCUCGUCUUCCAUCAACUGGGUGCUCAGGACAGUGGCGUGGUGGAUCCGCCUGUACAGCCUGUGCUCCAGCGUCCUGCAGGCCACAGCUGUGUCCAGCCCUGACCCCGACUGCCCCUCCCACCACCUCCAUUUUAUAGAUGAGGAAACCGACGCCCAAGGGCUUAGGGAACCCUGCUCUGAAGCACACAGUAGGGCUGCUGGGCUCAGAUCCUCCCUCCCUGUGCUGAGCUGCCCUCCUCCUGCCGCAAGCUCCCACGCCCCAGGCCCACCCUGCUCACCGGCCUCUGCCCUAGUUCCCCGCAUGGUGUGGGAGUGUGGGGCAUCCUAGCUUUUCCUCGGCCCCCAGUUCUUUCACUUCCACUGGAGUCCCGCAGGGACAGCUCGGGGACCAUGCAGGCCCGGGUGGGCGUGUGGGCUCACAUAGCUCGGUGGUGAACAGCUGGCACGUCUCUGGGUUGCGGACGAUAAGGGCCACGUAGACUUGAGGAGCCCGCUGGUGCUCCCGGUAGGCAGCCAGCCUCCGCAGGACCGCGACCAGCGACACGAUGGAUUCUGGGCAAUACAGCACGUCUACGGUGAAAGCUUCAGGUUACUGAAAGGGACCAGCGGACAGUUCCAGGUCAUGCUGACCUCAGCAGCAGGGCGAGGCCAGAGAGGCAGCAGUCAUAUGAGACUAGUAGAUGCCAUUUGACCAUUUGGGCCAUUAGAUGGAAAGGCAAUUGCUUGGGUGAAAAAGGAGAACCCUUAGUAGAGAAAGCUGCAAAAGACCGAAGCAAAAGAAAAAAAUCUCCAUCUGGUUCUCGGCCUAUCUAGAGGGCUGUGAAUGACACAAAGCCUGACCCUGCCAUGAACUUCGUGUUUCAGGUGUCUGCCGAUUUGUCUGCUGGCUUGCAGGGGUGGGCCUGUGUCCCUGGCCACCGCUGGACCUGUGGGUUUCAGGGCUGGGACCCAGGACCACAGGCAGAGCUCUGUUCAACCAGAGAGGAGACCGAGUGUGCUGGCAGGGGCGAGGGGUUUUCGGUGGCCCAGCCAAACACCACCUUCUCUCAAGGGCCCUGUCCUCAUCCCAGAAGUGGUUGUUUUCCUCCUGUGGUCUCUGAAAGACAGAGGCAUGGCUCUGGGACAGAGCCAUGUGGUGAUGACUGUAAUGGGAGUAUGCCUGUCUCCAACAAGAGGGCUGUGGCUGGAAGGUCACCUUAAGAGGCACCCCUGUCCUUUGAUGUCACCCUGGAGGCCCAGAGUAACUCUUCUGGAAGCCCCAUCAUGUCCAUGCCCGACAGCGUCCAUUGUUCCCUUUUCCCAGAGCCCAGAGCUGGGUAGAGCUGCAAGGACACCGCCUGCACAGAGUGCCCGGGGCUGGGCAUUGCCUGCUGCAAUGACAACAUCUGGCUGGAUGGCAGAGAGCUGAUGGACCGUCGCGACGUCCCAGUCCAGCUGGGCCACUGUCACCCUGGGGCUGUCUAAGUUGGCAGAGAUGUCUGCCUCUAAUGAGAGGCCAUUGAGAAGGACAUUCCCUCGGAGCUUCUCGAGGACCUGGCUGUGACAGUCGCUGAAGAUGUAUGCCUGGAGGCGGCACAUCUUGCAGAUGGCCAGGCCUGUGAGGCUGGCGCCACUGCCAAGCUCUAGGACAGUCCUGGCGGGAGGAAAGGGGACCAUGUCUGUAACUGCACCAGGGUGAGCCUGCCUCGGUGUCCUGCCGUGCGCCCCGAGGUCACCUAUGAGAGAAGGCUGCCGGGUUCUCGAUGGCCCAUUCUGCCAGGUAGAGGGCAGCAUCUCAUGUGACCAGGCCUGUGAUGCCAUGGGAGAUGAUGGCUGUGCUCUCGGAGAGUGUGACUGAGCCUCCCGAGGGCUGCACCAAGAGAGGGCGAGAGAGUCAGUCCAGCAAUCAGAAGGCAAGUGGCUUAGAAGACAAGUAGCCAUCCACCACAUGGCUGAAUAAACCAUGACAGGACCAAUCGCCACUCAGCAAUGAGAAGCAGCUAACUGUUGACAUGCCAACAGCUUGCACGGGCCUCAAGGGUGUCACGUGGCAUGAAAGACACUCAUCUCAGGCCACACAGGAUUCCAUUCAUCGAACAUUCCUGAGACAACGGAAUUCUGGUGAUGGAGCACAGGAUGCUUCACAGUCUACGGCAAAGGACAGAACGUUGGUUGCUCGAGAGCCCGUCUUAAGUCCCCUAUGAGCUUCAAGCCAACACAGCAGAGGGCAAACUCCAGGCUACCCGAUCCCUCAGCAAAGAUGUAGAUGGACACAGCGUUCUGGCCCCAUGCAUCUGAAGUUUGUCUUAAGAUAUAAACCGUUUCCUAAAAAUGCUUCCACUGCAGUGGCACAGGCUAUGGCAGCAUUUCUAAUGCCCAUUCUGAGCAGGAACACAGGGCACGUGGGCCCAAACCACCUCCCUCCCAGGGGUGCCAGUGUGAACCAGGGUUUGCAGUAAGGACAGUCGCCAACUGUCUGGCUCUAUGGAAGAGGCGGGAAGGCCCACUUGGCAACUGCUCUCUUGGAGUGUGUGUCCCUGGGGACAGGAUGGAGGGGAGGGGACGCUCAGGGUGACACUCCAGCUAAAGUCGAGAGAAGCCGAGUGCAGGACGACUGAGGUGGCCGCGGCCUGGCACUUGGAACGGAGGGCAGAGGGACUGCUGCAGCAGGAGGGGGGCGGUGGGAAAACAGGAGCCUGGAGGGAGAGGGAGGAGACGGUCCGCAGUGCCUGCUGGCUGGGAGGGAUGCAGACUCUGUGUGGAGGGGAGAGAGAGAAAUCUCAAGGGCGCUUUCACAGGAACAUUAAACACGCAAUAGAAUGUGUUGGCAAAGCGCUGUGUGAUCUCUCCCUGGGGACGUGGAGCCAGUUGGAAGUGGAAGCCACAGCAGCUGAAAGCCUGACCUUCAGAUGUCGCAGGGUGCACCUGGAUGAGUCACAGGAAGAAGGCUAGAAGACUGACUCUUGGCCGCAUUAGUCCUGGCUACUUAGAGGCCACCUGGGUCAUGGGCCAGCUCCCUGGUUGCACUGGUCAGCCAGGAUUGCACUGGUUACCAGGGCAGCCAUGGCACCAAGGUUUGAUGGGCUUGCCAUCUAAGUGGAAAUGCAGAAUGUGCCCAUACCAGCCUGGGUUACAUUGUCCUUUUACAGGGGCCUCAAGCCCAGCAGCGAACUUUGGCUCCCGAAUUAGGUAGACUGUCUCGGCUGGUAUGUGACACAGGGCAAGGCACUUCAUUGCUUCAGAGCUCCUUCCAUUGCCGUAAAAGGCCCUACAAGACCUGGUCCUAAUCCCUCUCUCUGGCCUGUUCUCCCUCACCCCUGGCCAACCCUGCUCACUCCACUCCAGCCACACUGGCUGCCUUGCUGUUGUUCCUCAACCACAGCUGGCUUGUUUCCACCACAGGACCUGUGCAUAUCCUGUUCCCCCAAGCCCUUCCCAUGGCUGGCUGCUUCACCACUCAGGCCCCAGUUCAAAUGCCACCUCUUUGGGGAUGCUCCAUUCACCAUUUCCCUGUUUUAUUGGCUUUAAAGCCACUCUCAUCUGGUCUUUUCUUGUUUCUUCAUUUCUUUGUUUAUUCUCUGGCUCUCCCAUGCAAGCAGACCCUCAUCUGUCACGGGUACUGCUGAUCCAUGGUGUCUGGCUCAUAGAAGGCAUUUAUUAAACAUUUUGAGACUGAAUAAAAACACUAUCUAACACUGACAUGCAUUUACCAUGAGCCAGGCACUGAUCCACAGGCUUUUGUACUCAACCCUGACAACAACCCUAAGAGGUAGGUAUCAUUCUAUCCCCCAUUUUAUUAAUAAG
rnacentral:lncRNA from 1 species